rnacentral:lncRNA from 1 species
GGCACCCGUGUGUACAGCCCCCCAGAGUGGAUCCGGUAUCAUCGAUAUCACGGGCGGUCUGCCACUGUGUGGUCUCUGGGUGUACUGCUCUACGACAUGGUGUGUGGGGACAUUCCCUUUGAGCAGGAUGAGGAGAUCUUGCGCGGCAGGCUCUUUUUCCGGAGGAGGGUCUCCCCAGAGUGCCAGCAGCUUAUUGAGUGGUGUCUCUCCCUGCGGCCCUCAGAGAGGCCCUCGCUGGACCAAAUUGCUGCCCAUCCCUGGAUGCUGGGGACAGAGGGGAGCGUUCCAGAGAACUGUGACCUUCGGCUCUGUGCCCUGGAUACUGAUGACGGAGCCAGUACCACUUCCAGCAGUGAGAGCUUGUGAGGAGGAGGAGGGGCCUGGACUCCACACUGGGGGCCUGGGCUCAGCCUAGCCAGCCCUCUCCCAGAAUGAACAUUUUCUGCCUGGGAUGUCUCCUGCAAAAGCAGUGACCUCUGACCCCUGGUGACCUUUGCUCUCGGCACCGGGCCUGUUUCCUUUGCUUUGAGUGCCUUUUUGAACGCUGCUCCACAGGGCCUGGGUUUUCUUGAGCUCUUCUGUCCAAAGAUGGCUGCGGGCUAAGCAAGGUCCCGCCUGCCCUGGGUGGAUACUUGAACCCGAGACCCUACCCUGCUGCUCCAUCUUGAGGCAGCCUUCCUGACCAAGUGUGUUUGACAUGGAGCGCCCUGUGGUGCCCACCUCCAACCCUCCAGUCUCCUGGUCUUCGUCUGGGCAUGUCUGCACAAGCAAUGCAACGCUGGGCCACUGCUGCCCGCCUGCCUCCCUGGCACCGCACGCAACGAGCGUGCCACGGUCUCUUAUUUAUGGUGUGAUCACCCUGGAGGGCGCCCCUGCCCUGCUGGGGCUAUUUAUUGUUUAAUUUAUUUGCUGAGGUUACUUCCUCCAAGCAACCACCUUCUCCAGGCCCCUGGGGUGUUCAGGAAAGCCAAGGGUGGCCGUUCAGUCCACAGACGGCAUCCUGGUUCCUGCACCUGGAGUAGGUCCCUAACCCCAUGUUUGUGGGAGGAAGAAUUUGUACAGUGGCUAAUUUAAGGGGAGUGGGAGACCCUGUCACCCUGGGCACUCUGCGCUGGGGAGGGGGUUUAAAUUAUUGACCUUGUACAGUCUGCUUGCUGGCUCUGAAAGCUGGGGUGGGGGACAGAGUCUCAAGCCCUUAAUUUAUUUUAGCAACUGUGUUCUGUGACCCUGGUGUGAGUAGGCAUCAGGGGUGGGGUUGUAUAAGUUCAAAAGUGUGAAAUGUCUGGAGAUCAUAUUUUUUAUACAGGUAUUUCAAUUAAAUGUUUUGGUAUAUAAUG